rnacentral:misc_RNA from 1 species
CAGCCCGUAAUUCCAGCUCCAAUAGCGUAUAUUAAAGUUGUUGCAGUUAAAAAGCUCGUAGUUGAAUUUCGGGAUCGACGGGUCGGUCGCGCCUCUGGUGUGUACUGGCCCUGUCGGUUUCUCCCUUCUGACGAACCACGAUGUCAUUAAUUUGGUGUCGUGGGAAAUCAGGACUGUUACUUUGAAAAAAUUAGAGUGUUUAAAGCAGGCAUUCGCUUGAAUACAUUAGCAUGGAAUAAUGAAAUAGGACGUUUGAUCUUAUUUUGUUGGUUUCUAAGAUCGACGUAAUGAUUAAUAGGGAUAGUUGGGGGCAUUAGUAUUCAAUUGUCAGAGGUGAAAUUCUUGGAUUUAUUGAAGACUAACUACUGCGAAAGCAUUUGCCAAGGAUGUUUUCAUUAAUCAAGAACGAAAGUUAGGGGAUCGAAGACGAUCAGAUACCGUCGUAGUCUUAACCAUAAACUAUGCCGACUAGGGAUCGGAUGAUGUUAAUUUUUUAAUGACUCAUUCGGCGCCUUACG